rnacentral:rRNA from 1 species
ACGAACGCUGGCGGCGUGCCUAACACAUGCAAGUCGAACGGGGGUAGCAAUACCUCAGUGGCGAACGGGUGCGUAACACGUGAAGAACUUGUCCAUCGGCGGGGGAUAGCCGGCCCAACGGCCGGGUAAUACCGCGUACGCUUGUCGGAUGGCAUCACCCGGCAAGGAAAGCAGCAAUGCGCCGAUGGAGAGCUUCGCGGCCUAUCAGCUAGUUGGCGGGGUCAAGGCCCACCAAGGCGACGACGGGUAGCUGGUCUGAGAGGAUGGCCAGCCACAUUGGGACUGAGACACGGCCCAGACUCCUACGGGAGGCAGCAGUGGGGAAUAUUGCGCAAUGGGCGAAAGCCUGACGCAGCGACGCCGCGUGCGGGAUGAAGGCCUUCGGGUCGUAAACCGCUGUCGCGAGGGACGAAAAUCUGACGGUACCUCGAAAGGAAGCACCGGCUAACUCUGU